rnacentral:sRNA from 1 species
GCUGGGCAUGGUGGUGCAUGCCUGUAAUCCCAGCAGCUAAGGAUGCUGAGGCAGGAGGACUGCAAGUUCAAAGCCAGCCUCAG